CUUCCAAGUAGCUGGGACUACCGGCGCCCGCCAUCGCGCCCAGCUCAUUUUUUUGUAUUUUUAGUAGAGAGGGGGUUUCACCGUUUUAGCCAGGAUGGUCUCGAUAUCCUGACCUUGUGAUCCGCCCGCCUCGGCCUCUCAAAGUGCUGGGAUUACAGGCGUGAGCCACCGCGCCCGACCUAUUGGUUUCUUUUUUUGACACGGAGUCUCACUCUGCCACCCAGGGUGGAGUGCAGUGAUGCAACGUCUCCCUCUUGGGUUCAAGCAAUUCUCCUGCCUCAGGCUCCCAAGUAGCUGGGAUUACAGAAAACUCUUGAGUUCUCCCUGAAAGGAGACUAAAGAACAAUCCUCUGCAGAUGUGUCUGAAUCCUAAAAUGAACUUAAG
rnacentral:misc_RNA from 1 species